GGCAGGUGGUAUUCAGCCUCACCGACUGGGCCUGCUAACUUUCCCCAACCCCGGCAAGUCCUCCCUCCAGUGAGCAGACAAGAAAUAAGGGAACUGAAGUACAAGGGGCCACAGGCCAAUCUUGACCUCUGUGUACCUAAGAUGCAUCUAUAUGUACUGGACAUCAGGACGUGAGCCAGUGUUUGCUAUGAGCCCCUCCCUGGCCUCCUAAGAGAAUGGAACUGAAGGAGACAGGCAAUUAACAACCCUCAAAGAGCUGACAUUUGAGUGAUAACAGCAAAUCUACAGUUCUUCCAUUUUGGGAUACAUCUUCCAUUUCCAGAAGAAUAGAACCCCACAGCUAGACCUUGAAAAGAAGAAAUAUAACACAGCAUUGGUUAUCAGAUGUCAUUGUGCCAUCAAAACAAACUGAAGAACUCAUAAAAGUACAGAUUCCUGGGUGCCACCCUCAGAGAAUCUUGUUCAAUGAACCUGGAAUGGAGGGAGUGAGACCAUGUUUCCAUUCUUACUGUACAACACAUCUGGAAAAUAAGAAAAAUGAGCCAGUCUCCUACCAAAUACCCAGCACAUAACACAUUCUUAAUAAGAUGUCAUAUUAAUGAACAUCAAAACAUCUGGAUGAGGGGAUAAUUUGUUUCAUCUUGCUCCAGAUAUUGGCUAUUAUGUUUGCAGAGCUGGCAUACCCAGUGCUGGGUCAAUGUGAUUCAAAACUGAGAGGACCCCCAGUGAAAAUUUCCGUCCAGGUUCAGGGAACCUUUGGAACCACUCCUUAUCUGGAGAUUUUGGGAACUGAAGCUUCCAGUGGGCCAAUGAAAGCAAGAAAAUAACGGCACAAGGUCCAGAAUCCAGAAGACCGCCCUGGACACUUAGGGAAGCAAUAUAUGCCAGUGGUUGAGAAUCUCCACUUUGGAAGCUGAUUUCCAGAACUGGCAAAUGGGCUCACCAAUAAACAUCUGUGUGACCUCAGGCAAAUCACUUUAUGUGCAUCAUUGAGGACUGUCAUGAAGACUGAUAAGGUGAUGAAUAAAAAGGAAUAGAGAAUACAAAUCAGUGAAAGGAAUUUGAAAAUCUUUUCAAUCAGUGCGUGAUAUCGGCGAAGACUGAUCGAAGGAUUCUAUUCCUUUACUUUGUAUCCCCUGUAAGCACAAGUGAAACACGCAGAGGGCCUUCACACAAUAGAAUGAGUAAUGAUGCUGACUUGGUCCUAAAAUGUAAGUACUAUAUCUUCCAUGCUUAAAAUUGUCCAAAGCUUUCCUGCCACACUUUUUUUUAAUGUUUAUUUAUUUUUGAAAGACCAAGACAGAGCACAAGCUCAGGAG